rnacentral:rRNA from 1 species
GUCUACGGCCAUACCACCCUGAACGCGCCCGAUCUCGUCUGAUCUCGGAAGCUAAGCAGGGUCGGGCCUGGUUAGUACUUGGAUGGGAGAAAUAGAUAUACAGACA